AGAUGUAAAUUAUACGGCUGGGUGGAAGUAGUGUUUGUCGAUUGAUGACCUGUCGGAAACUAGGGUUAGAAACCGCGUUUUUGUUUUCGGAGUUGACAUUUGCGGCGUCAUGUAUACUUCCAUUUUAGGAAAUUCCACGUCCUCAGCACUAUUUUCAUGUUUUGUACGUUCGAGGACAGAUUACUGGUAGCAAAACAAUUAAAACAAA
rnacentral:lncRNA from 1 species